GGAGGGCUGGCUGAGUGGUCGAAAGCAACGGUCUUGAAAACCGUCGAGGGUUUGCGCCCUCCCAGGGUUCGAAUCCCUGGCCCUCCA
rnacentral:tRNA from 1 species